rnacentral:rRNA from 1 species
GGACGAACGCUGGCGGCGUGCUUAACACAUGCAAGUCGAACGGAAAGGCCCUGCUUUUGUGGGGUGCUCGAGUGGCGAACGGGUGAGUAACACGUGAGUAACCUCCCCUUUACUUUGGGAUAACUUCAGGAAACUGGGGCUAAUACCGGAUAUGAGCUCCUGCUGCAUGGUGGGGGUUGGAAAGUUUCGGCGGUUGGGGAUGGACUCGCGGCUUAUCAGCUUGUUGGUGGGGUAGUGGCUUACCAAGGCUUUGACGGGUAGCCGGCCUGAGAGGGUGACCGGCCACAUUGGGACUGAGAUACGGCCCAGACUCCUACGGGAGGCAGCAGUGGGGAAUAUUGCACAAUGGGCGGAAGCCUGAUGCAGCAACGCCGCGUGCGGGAUGACGGCCUUCGGGUUGUGAACCGCUUUCGCCUGUGACGAAGCGUGAGUGACGGUAAUGGGUAAAGAAGCACCGGCUAACUACGUG